rnacentral:rRNA from 1 species
AGUGAACGCUGGCGGUAGGCCUAACACAUGCAAGUCGAACGGCAGCACAGUAAGAGCUUGCUCUUACGGGUGGCGAGUGGCGGACGGGUGAGGAAUACAUCGGAAUCUACUUUUUCGUGGGGGAUAACGUAGGGAAACUUACGCUAAUACCGCAUACGACCUACGGGUGAAAGCAGGGGAUCUUCGGACCUUGCGCGAUUGAAUGAGCCGAUGUCGGAUUAGCUAGUUGGCGGGGUAAAGGCCCACCAAGGCGACGAUCCGUAGCUGGUCUGAGAGGAUGAUCAGCCAAACUGGAACUUAGACACGGUCCAGACUCCUACGGGAGGGAGCAGUGGGGAAUAUUGGACAAUGGGCGCAAGCCUGAUCCAGCCAUACCGCGUGGGUGAAGAAGGCCUUCGGGUUGUAAAGCCCUUUUGUUGGGAAAGAAAAGCAGCAGGUUAAUACCCCGCUGUUCUGACGGUACCCAAAGAAUAAGCACCGGCUAACUUCGUG